CAGCCGCCGCGGGAAUACGAAGGUCCCGAGCGUUGUUCGGAAUCACUGGGCGUAAAGGGAGCGUAGGCGGCGUGGUAAGUCAGAUGUGAAAUCCCGGGGCUCAACCCCGGAACUGCAUCCGAUACUGCCAUGCUAGAGGAUUGGAGAGGUAGCUGGAAUUCUUGGUGUAGCAGUGAAAUGCGUGGAGAUCAAGAGGAACACUCGUGGCGAAAGCGAGCUACUGGACAAUAACUGACGCUGAGGCUCGAAGGCCAGGGUAGCGAAAGGGAUUAGAUACCCCAGUAGUCCCUGUCUCUUAUAC
rnacentral:rRNA from 1 species